UGCCUCUCCCCGAACCCUAGACCCCUUCCCUCAAUCCCUCCAGCCGCCGCUAUCCCACCCGCACAACCACACUCCUCCUUCAUCCCGUGGAUCCUCCUCUCUCUCCUCUCCUCCCUCCUUGUCCGCGCGCCCAUCCCCCGGCACUCUCUCGCUUGCCUCCCGGACCAGCCACCACCGCGCCGCUGGGGCUCGGCCGCCGCGCGCAGCGACAGGGGUAGGCUCAAGGCGGCACACACUUCAUGAGGUGUAGGGGAGGGCAGGGUGAGCGCCAGAGCCAGGCAAGGAAGUAGGGCGUGACGGGGUCGGAUCUGGCGGUGGUGGGUAGCAGCUCGAGCUAGAGGUUGAGACGGGGAAGGUCAAAAAAUGAGGAAGCUCGAGCUGGAGAUGCACAACUAGCGUCAGCGGCCAUCCGAUGGGUUCGAGCACGAGGCAACGCUCCCGUCACGACGUGGUGGAGCUGCGCAGGAGCGGGAGGAGGUUGGCGACAGGGAACCGGGCCGGGGAGGAGGCAAGGUUGUAUUGCAUAUGAGCUAUUGGUGAAACCUGAAUGUCUAUGGUAUGGUGGCAGCGAGAUGUUUAACAUGAGGUGUUGCAGCUAGGUACCUACUUCACUUGUUAUCUUAGUUCAAAAAAGUGCUAGGCGUUAAUUGUGCGUUUUGCCACCGCCUUGCGCUUUUCUGACCAAAGCGCAUGCUUAUGCGCAAUUAUGCGCAGAUUAAGCGCAGUUAUGCGCUAUGCGUUUUGCCAUCGCCUAGAGCCUGGCCACACUUAAGCGCUCGCUUAGGCGUGCCUUUUUUAACUAUGCUUGUUAUUCUGUCCAUUCUGCGGCUACUUCUUUUGAUUUUAAAGGAUGUUUAGAAUCAGAACAAAAGUAAGAGAGAGUUUGGUUGUACAUGUAAAUUGGUCAUUCAACGUGAAUUUCUGCCAAACGAGGCUUAAACCUGAACAAUAGUUGUUGUAGAACCUUUGAGCUGGUCCAUUUCAGGCUUAAACCUUAACAAGAAAGCACUUGUUGCUUUGUGUUUUUUAUUUUCUUAGUGGAUGUGUGAACAUUUGAGCUGGUCCAUUUCAGGGCGUAUUUAUAUACAUGAAAUUCCUCAAAGUGAAAGUUGCCGAGGGUUUGAUCAUCUUUCUGUAUACUCAUAUGGUGGCUCUCCUACUUGAUUACCAAGUAAAUAUUUGGAGGGUUACAAUGAUCCAACCUUUACAACACUACACGAGCAUGGCUCUAAAUCAUCAGUUAACUACAAGAAACAUUUGCUACAAGUGCCGUUGAUGACAUAGAUUACAGGAACAUGGCUGAUGUCUUGUAUGCAACAUUUAAAUUUGAACUGUGCCGUUAUUAGUCCAACCGGUUACCUAAGAGGUUGAUCCAAGUUAACUUUACGUUCUAUGUGACAGGAUGUUUGACAGUGUUGGCAUAAUGGAAGUGAAAACUUAUAUAAUAUAUUUUGUUUGUGCCAAGACAUUGUGUCACCUCCAUGCUAAACCUAUCCAACUAACUACGUAUCUGCACCAUGAUUGCUCGCCGGGGAUAUAGAUAUAUGCCUAACAUCAGGUUAUUACCACACUACAGGACUUUCUAGGAUAAGUGUGUCAUUGCAUCUAAAGGUAUAUGAUCAGUUUCUCAACUCAUGUAUUUUUUAAUCCUCAAUAUAUCGCUGCUUGCCUGGCUUGUCCUACAUUUGUGAGGUUGUUGAGGAAGUUCAGUUAUUGCAUGCGGCGUAUAACUUGAGUUGCCUACAUAUGAUUUUGCCAGUUCGACGGAAACUUAGAAUAAAGAAGGGAACUCUCAGUUUUAUUGUUUUGCUCUUCCCAGAUUUUAGGCUGGGUUUAUUAACAUCUAUGCCACACACUAAAUUUGGAUCUCAAUGUAAGAUUAAAUAGGGAUGAAUCAUUGCGCCAUAUUGAAAAAUUGGAACUAUAGAGAAGAAAGGAAAUUAUUAAAGAAGGGAUAUCGUUGAUUAGGUUGUUGUGGUCUUUCUUCGCAAACAAUGAUAUUCUAACUUGUUGGUUUAAUUUAGGUGUGUGGGUUAUAGGAGCUACAAGGAGAGAUAUUUUAGUUGCAAUUGAGCUUUAUCUCAAAGUGAAACAUGGUAGACAUGCAGAGCAUGCCUGGUGUUUUUCUCUACAGUUCUGGGCUGCCAUGGUGUCAAUUUUGAACUUGCAAAAUGAACUGUAAAAUGUUUUAAUACCUUGGCACAUGUAGUUCUCUUUACCUGCUCUGGCUACUUCAUCUCUGUUUAUUUAGCAGGUUCUGCGAUCUCCUGUGUUACUGCAUCUUGAUCUUCUGCUUUGCUAUAACUCUGUUCUGCUGCUUGAGGGACAACCAAGAUCAAGAAUCCGGACUCCGGCUCGAUUCCGGCUUCUAUGGAUAAGGUGACACCUAAUAAGGAUCUAUAGAACAACAGAGAUGCUAAGAAGAGGCGACCUUUUGGGGUUAUGGAUAUGAACAACAACAGAGCUUAUGAGGCCGAAGAGUGCUUCAGUGGCGUCUUUUGGUUCUUCAAGCCCUGCACUUUCUUGGUGGAGCAGCAAAAUAAUCCGGAGGCUUUAAAGCUACUGCACUUCAUGUAGUUAGGAUCGAUUCUUUGUUUCGGUUUGAAAUACCCCAAGUUCCUCCUAUUUGAUUGAUUCAUCUAAUGGACAUUCUGUCAGGCAAAUAAAGAGAAAGCAUAUGUAUUGUUACCAAUGAAGCCAUCCGUACAGGUCAAUAUAUUAAUAAUCCCAUAUGUGGAAUUCAAGAUAUAGAGGAAUGUUAUUUUCUGCUAAUUGGUUGUUUGACCAAAUGUACUACAAAUGAUGUUAUUAUUGUUCAGGAUACAGAUAAUUGUUAUUGUUCUUCAUUGUA